rnacentral:rRNA from 1 species
AUGAAGAAACAAAUACAUCAGUUUGUACAGCCCUGUCUAGUCUGUCAGCAAGCAAAACCAGAGAGAGUGGCAUAUCUAGGACUGCUAUCUCCUUUACCUGUUCCUGCAAAAGCUUGGGAAACUGUCACGAUGGAUUUCAUCUCAGGCCUACCCUCUUCUGAUCAAUAUGAUUGCAUCAUGGUGGUUAUAGACAAGUUUACCAAAUAUGGGCAUUUUAUUCCUGUCAAACAUCCAUACACUGCCCAGAAGAUUUCUGAAUUGUUUUUGGACAAUAUCUAUAAACUUCAUGGCAUGCCUCGUUAUAUUGUGUCAGAUAGGGACCCUGUGUUCACUAGCAGGUUUUGGCAGGCAUUGGUGAGAAGGACAGGAGCUGUUCUUAACAUGAGCACAACCUAUCACCCAGAGACAGAUGGUCAAACAGAGCGUGUCAAUCAGCAAGUGGAAUGCUUCCUGAGAUGUUUCAUCAGUGCUCACCCCAAGAAAUGGGCAAGGUGGAUUUCUCUUUGUGAGUUUUGGUACAAUACAAAUUGGCAUUCAGCACUCAAUAAAUCUCCUUUUGAGGUCCUUUAUGGCCAUAGUCCUAGACACUUUGGUAUAUCAGCUUCGGAUGCAGUCGAUCCUGUUGAUCUGCAACAAUGGUUGGAUGCCAGGGAAGUGGUGCAACAGUCAGUGCGCCAGCAUCUGUUGCGUGUUCAACAGAGAAUGAAACAACAAGCUGAUAAGAAGCGCACGGAGAGAACAUUUGCUGUGGGUGAUCGAGUGUUCCUCAAACUCCAGCCGUAUGUGCAGUCGUCGGUGGCACACAGAGCAAAUCACAAACUUGCUUUCAAGUAUUUUGGACCGUUUUUGAUUCUGGAGAAGAUCGGGGAAGUGGCCUACCGCUUACAGUUGCCAGCAUCUAGCCGUAUUCAUCCAGUUUUUCAUGUGUUGCAGUUGAAGCAAUGCGUGCAGCCACACCAGGAGAUAUUCAGGUCGCUUCCUUCAGCU